UUGAUUGAUUUGUAUUCAAUACUCGACGCACAGAUGCAGAGUUGAUUGGCCCUCUGGGGGACGCCGGAUCCGCGGUCGGCCGGGUCGCCCCCCGAGGCAACAGAUAUGAAUCGACAAAGGGUUGGAGGUCGGACGCGAGGGCCCUCACUCGGUAAUGAUCCCUCCGCAGGUUCACCUACGGAGA
rnacentral:misc_RNA from 1 species